rnacentral:sRNA from 1 species
AAAAAAAAUGAAAAAAA